rnacentral:rRNA from 1 species
UACGUAGGAUGCGAGCGUUGUUCGGAUUUAUUGGGCGUAAAGCGUGCGUAGGCGGUUUCAAAAGUCUGGUGUUAAAGCUAGGGGCUCAACCCCUGUGAUGCACUGGAAACUAUGAGACUUGAGUGCGGUAGGGGAAGGUGGAAUUCCGAGUGUAGCGGUGAAAUGCGUAGAUAUUCGGAAGAACACCGGUGGCGAAGGCGACCUUCUGGGCCGCAACUGACGCUGAGGCACGAAGGUCAGGGGAGCAAACGGG